rnacentral:sRNA from 1 species
AAAGAACUUCGUUUGCAUUGAAAAUCCUUUUUGAGGCUUUUUCUGCCUCAAAAAGAUUGUAACGUGAGUCCGACCCUUG